rnacentral:lncRNA from 12 species
AUGACUGUGUGGACACAAGAUGCCCCCAUAGGGCAAAUUUGCAGAGCAGAUGACCCAGGGCUGGCCAGGCAGCAGGAAAUCUGGGCCCGUGUGAGGAGGGAGACAGAAAUGUCUCGAAACUGCACUGUGGUGAUGGUCACACGACUCUACCUAUCGACUGAAGUUCACGGAGUCAGACCUUUACAGAGGAUGAAUUUUACUGGAUUUAAGUUAUUUCUCAAUAAAGCUGUUCUUUUGUUUAAAGGUUGGUGUCCACGUAGGCGGCUCAUAGGAAAGAAUGAAGCUUCAUGUUCGGAGCCACCACCUGCCCCCCAGCGCCGGCGCGAGCCCGAGGUCCCCGCCGGCAUCCCCUCUGCAGGCCCGGACAGCGCCCGGGGCAGCUCGGCCCGCGGCCCGGAGCUCGUAGGUGCGCGGGGCCGGGGAGGCGGAGGGAGAAGCGCGGAGCGGCGGGCGGGCGAGCGGGCGAGCGGGCGAGCAGCAGCCUCCUCCGGCCCCGGCAGCCCCGCGCGCGCCCGCGCCGCCUCCGCGCUCUGCCCGCCGCCGGGCCAUUCGGCCCUUAUAUACCAGCCGGCCCGGGGGCGUGGCCGGGGCGUGGCCGAGGCGGGUGGGGGCGUGGUCUGGGCGUGGCCUGAGCGGGGCAGCCAGGGAGCCGCACUGCUUCCUGGGAACUGUAGUUCCCUCCACCCCAUCCCAGCUAAUGCACAACAGCUGUCGGCAUGGUUGCCGCUCGCCCUCAACAGCGGUGCCCCCUUGCGCCCUCCCUUCGCAGGGAAGGCUGGGAUUCCCGCCUCGCUGUCAACUCCGUUAGAUCUAGGCUGGUCCUUGAUGCACAAGGUGGGGGACCUCAAGCCCCCUAAACGCCUCCCGCGAUGACAAGCCUGGAGUCAGACAAACCGAGCUAGGUUGCAGUCCCAGCCUGCCAUGAACCGCCCGUGUGACCUUCAAGGAAGCGUGUGACCUGCGAGGCUGCAGAAACUGAAGUCUGAUCAAGAGCAUGGCAGCCCCUCAGAUUCUUCAUCGGAAGCAAAGGAUAUUAGAGUUUGCUUCCACCGGGUUGUAGAGGGAGGUGACCCCUGCACAACGCGGCCUGAUCUCUCCGCCUCUAACACGAACUGUAAUUCUCUAACGCUUGUUAAGUGCUGGGCAAUUUUGGUUUCGGGGUUCCGCUCCUGCAAACCAAAUGCCACCUUGGGACCCUCCUAGAAUAAAAUUCUGGAGCUGCCAUGGCCUUCA